UCCUAAUAUAAUAAUAAUUAAUUAAUUAAUUAAAAAAAAACGAAAAAAACAAAACCUGGGAACGGCUCGGCUCGACUUGAUGAAGAAAAACAGUUCGAAGACUCGACUCAAAAUUCUAACACACCAAAACCGUUUUUAGCUUUUAUUUUUUCUCUGUAUUUGCUUUUUUUUUGUGUUUUCUUUUGUUCUUCCAAUACCUAUUUAUAAUGAUUGAUCAAAACAAUUUCUGAUUAAUCCCAACUCUUUCUGAAAUUUGAUUCAAUCUUUGAAUCCAAUCCUAACUCUGUCAAUUCUCAAAUCACAACUAAAUUCAUUCCAAAUUUUUUAUCCUAAUCUUAACCAAAAAUUAAUCAAAAUAAAAAGAUAAAUAUAUUAAUAGAUAACAAAAAAAAAA
rnacentral:lncRNA from 1 species